rnacentral:tRNA from 1 species
CGGGCACGGGGUGCUGCGGGGUGAGCACGGCGGUGUCGUCGCUGAGCCCGCCGCCGGGCAGCGGGCCCUGGCCGUUCCGGCCGGUCGUGCCGGGC